rnacentral:rRNA from 1 species
GACGAACGCUGGCGGCGUGCCUAACACAUGCAAGUCGAGCGAAUGAAGUUCCUUCGGGAACGGAUUUAGCGGCGGACGGGUGAGUAACACGUGGGCAACCUACCUCAUAGAGGGGAAUAGCCUUCCGAAAGGGAGAUUAAUACCGCAUAAGAUUGUAGUACCGCAUGGUACAGAACCCUUAAAGGAGCAAUCCGCUAUGAGAUGGGCCCGCGGCGCAUUAGCUAGUUGGUGAGGUAACGGCUCACCAAGGCGACGAUGCGUAGCCGACCUGAGAGGGUGAUCGGCCACAUUGGGACUGAGACACGGCCCAGACUCCUACGGGAGGCAGCAGUGGGGAAUAUUGCACAAUGGGGGAAACCCUGAUGCAGCAACGCCGCGUGAGUGAUGACGGCCUUCGGGUUGUAAAGCUCUGUCUUCAGGGACGAUAAUGACGGUACCUGAGGAGGAAGCCACGGCUAACUACGUG